rnacentral:rRNA from 1 species
CUUGCUCUCUGAUUCAGCGGCGGACGGGUGAGUAAUGCCUAGGAAUCUGCCUGGUAGUGGGGGACAACGUCUCGAAAGGGACGCUAAUACCGCAUACGUCCUACGGGAGAAAGCAGGGGACCUUCGGGCCUUGCGCUAUCAGAUGAGCCUAGGUCGGAUUAGCUAGUUGGUGAGGUAAUGGCUCACCAAGGCGACGAUCCGUAACUGGUCUGAGAGGAUGAUCAGUCACACUGGAACUGAGACACGGUCCAGACUCCUACGGGAGGCAGCAGUGGGGAAUAUUGGACAAUGGGCGAAAGCCUGAUCCAGCCAUGCCGCGUGUGUGAAGAAGGUCUUCGGAUUGUAAAGCACUUUAAGUUGGGAGGAAGGGCAGUAAAUUAAUACUUUGCUGUUUUGACGUUACCGACAGAAUAAGCACCGGCUAACUCUGUGCCAGCAGCCGCGGUAAUACAGAGGGUGCAAGCGUUAAUCGGAAUUACUGGGCGUAAAGCGCGCGUAGGUGGUUUGUUAAGUUGGAUGUGAAAGCCCCGGGCUCAACCUGGGAACUGCAUUCAAAACUGACAAGCUAGAGUAUGGUAGAGGGUGGUGGAAUUUCCUGUGUAGCGGUGAAAUGCGUAGAUAUAGGAAGGAACACCAGUGGCGAAGGCGACCACCUGGACUGAUACUGACACUGAGGUGCGA